rnacentral:rRNA from 1 species
AGAGUUUGAUCAUGGCUCAGGAUGAACGCUAGCUACAGGCUUAACACAUGCAAGUCGAGGGGUAGCAGGGUAGCAAUACCGCUGACGACCGGCGCACGGGUGAGUAACACGUAUCCAACCUUCCCAUAACUCAGGGAUAGCCUUUCGAAAGAAAGAUUAAUACCUGAUAGUACUUUUUCAAGGCAUCUUGAAAGAGUUAAAGAUUUAUUGGUUAUGGAUGGGGAUGCGUUCCAUUAGAUAGUUGGUGAGGUAACGGCUCACCAAGUCUUCGAUGGAUAGGGGUUCUGAGAGGAAGGUCCCCCACAUUGGUACUGAGACACGGACCAAACUCCUACGGGAGGCAGCAGUGAGGAAUAUUGGUCAAUGGGCGAGAGCCUGAACCAGCCAAGUAGCGUGAAAAGGAUGAAGGUCCUAUGGAUUGUAAACUUCUUUUAUAGUAGAAUAAAGUGAGCCACGUGUGGUUUUUUGUAUGUAUACUAUGAAUAAGGAUCGGCUAACUCCGUGCCAGCCGCCGC